UUGUUUGGAGAGUUUGAUCCUGGCUCAGGACGAACGCUGGCGGCGUGCUUAACACAUGCAAGUCGAACGGGAUCCGGAAUGCUUUUUGUGUUUUGGUGAGAGUGGCGAACGGGUGAGUAACACGUGAGUAACCUGCCCCCUUCUUUUGGAUAACCGCAUGAAAGUGUGGCUAAUACAGGAUAUUCCAGGCUGGUCGCAUGAUUGGUUUGGGAAAUGGUUUGGUCUGGUGGGGGAUGGGCUCGCGGCCUAUCAGCUUGUUGGUGGGGUGAUGGCCUACCAAGGCGGUGACGGGUAGCCGGCCUGAGAGGGUGGGCGGUCACACUGGGACUGAGAUACGGCCCAGACUCCUACGGGAGGCAGCAGUGGGGGAUUUUGCACAAUGGGCGCAAGCCUGAUGCAGCGACGCCGCGUGAGGGAUGAAGGCCUUCGGGUUGUAAACCUCUUUCGCUGGGUUGAAAGGCCAUGCUUUGGGUGUGGUUGAUUUGAACUGGUAAAGAAGUACCGGCUAACUACGUGCCAGCAGCCGCGGUAAUACGUAGGGUACUAGCGUUGUCCGGAUUUAUUGGGCGUAAAGGGCUUGUAGGUGGUUUGUCGCGUCUGUCGUGAAAUCCUGUGGCUUAACCAUGGGCUUGCGGUGGGUACGGGCAGGCUUGAGUGCGGUAGGGGAGACUGGAAUUCCUGGUGUAGCGGUGGAAUGCGCAGAUAUCAGGAGGAACACCGGUGGCGAAGGCGGGUCUCUGGGCCGUUACUGACACUGAGGAGCGAAAGCGUGGGGAGCGAACAGGAUUAGAUACCCUGGUAGUCCAUGCUGUAAACGUUGGGCACUAGGUGUGGGGGCCGUGUGGUUUCUGCGCCGUAGCUAACGCAUUAAGUGUCCCGCCUGGGGAGUACGGCCGCAAGGCUAAAACUCAAAGGAAUUGACGGGGACCCGCACAAGCGGCGGAGCAUGCGGAUUAAUUCGAUGCAACGCGAAGAACCUUACCAAGGCUUGACAUGCACCGGUACAGUGUAGAGAUAUGCUGGCCUUUUUGGCUGGUGUGCAGGUGGUGCAUGGUUGUCGUCAGCUCGUGUCGUGAGAUGUUGGGUUAAGUCCCGCAACGAGCGCAACCCUUGUCUCGUGUUGCCAGCAUUUGGUUGGGGACUCUCGAGAGACUGCCGGGGUUAACUCGGAGGAAGGUGGGGAUGACGUCAAAUCAUCAUGCCCCUUAUGUCUUGGGCUUCACGCAUGCUACAAUGGAUGGUACAGAGGGUUGCGAUACUGUGAGGUGGAGCUAAUCCCUUAAAGCUGUUCUCAGUUCGGAUCGUAGUCUGCAACUCGACUACGUGAAGGUGGAGUCGCUAGUAAUCGCAGAUCAGCAACGCUGCGGUGAAUACGUUCUCGGGUCUUGUACACACCGCCCGUCACGUCACGAAAGUUGGUAACACCCGAAGCCCGUGGCCUAACCGCGUUUGUGGGGGGAGUGGUCGAAGGUGGGAUUGGCGAUUGGGACGAAGUCGUAACAAGGUAGCCGUACCGGAAGGUGCGGCUGGAUCACCUCCUUUCUA
rnacentral:rRNA from 2 species